rnacentral:ncRNA from 1 species
CAUCCUGAGGAGCGCUGCGACGCACCAGCCGGUUUCGGUGUGCCAGGCUCAGGAUAGUUUCGUCACCCACAUGGCCGGCAGGGUCAUCUUGCCGUGCGUGGGGCAGCCCGGGCGUUUGCCCAGGCCGCAUUGCCUGCGCCUGGGCGCGGGACGAACGGCGCUCGCCAAUU